AGCGAACGCUGGCGGCGUGCUUAACACAUGCAAGUCGAGCGAGAAAGGGGGCUUCGGCCCUGAGUACAGCGGCGAACGGGUGCGUAAUACAUGAGUAAUCUACCCUUGAGGCGGGAAUAACCCAGCGAAAGUUGGGCUAAUACCGGAUAAGACCACAAGAGGAGACCCUAGAGGUUAAAGGCAGCUUUCUUUUGGGAGCGGCCCUUCGAGGAGGAGCUCAUGUCCUAUCAGCUAGNGGUAGGGUAACGGCCUACCAAGGCGAAGACGGGUAGCUGGUCUUAGAGGAUGAUCAGCCACACGGGGACUGAGACACGGCCCCGACUCCUACGGGAGGCAGCAGGUGGGGAAUAUUGGGCAAUGGGCGAAAGCCUGACCCAGCGACGCCGCGUGGGUGAUGAAGGCC
rnacentral:rRNA from 1 species